AAAGCACUUUGAAAAGAGAGUUAAAAAGUACGUGAAAUUGUUGAAAGGGAAGCGUUUAUGACCAGACUUGGGCUUGGUUAAUCAUCUGGGCUUCUCCCUAGUGCACUUUUCCAGUCCAGGCCAGCAUCAGUGUUCCCCGGGGGAUAAAGACUUCGGGAAUGUGGCUCUCUUCGGGGAGUGUUAUAGCCCGUUGUGUAAUACCCUGGGGGGGACUGAGGUUCGCGCAUCUGCAAGGAUGCUGGCGUAAUGGUCAUGAACGACCCGUCUUGAAACACGGACCAAGGAGUCGUCUUCGUAUGCGAGUGUUCGGGUGUCAAACCCCUAC
rnacentral:rRNA from 1 species